GUCGGUGCGAGGAAGCAGCAAGUACUGUCGCGGUUCGUGCGUGCUUUUCGUUCGUGCUUUUGAAGUGAAAAUAGUAUGCAAACGAUUUCGGGAGAUGUCGAAGAGAGUGACGGCGAUUAUUGUAUUUCGAGAGCCGCUUUUUUUUGUAUAAUCUAUUCGCUAAAGCAAUUAUAUAUUUUGCACAUUUUUAUAUAUAUAUAUAUAUAUACCCUCGCUUAAAGAAUAUCUCAAGCCGGAAUAAUGAAACGUCGGAGCAUGAUAUUAAAUCUUUCUCUACGUGAUAGCGUAGAUGAAUAUAUGCUACUCGGUUAGAAUUUACAUAAUGCUUGUUAGCGUGAUGUUCUUUGAUUUUUCACUGACACGGAAUGAAUCGGGUAUAAUGUAUCGAGAAUGUCGAGUAAAUCAACAGACGAGUUUCGCGUUGAUUAUAUGCGACGAUACUUGUACAUUCGAAGUACAGAUACAUAACAUUGCCAGGAGUGCCGUGACAAGUGACAAUUAACGCGCGCGAUUGUAAUUAGUCGCGUUUUUCGAGUGAUCCGUAUAUGUGUGAGUGACUUCGUGGGGAAGGAGCAGGCAGGACAGGAUGACAUCAGCUGAAUACCAUCGUACACUAUCGAUCUAGAACAGCGUAAACACUAUGUAAGAGACAGUAGGAAACGAGAGAUAGAUACCCCGCCCGGUCACAAAGAAACUAAUCUCCAAUACAGCGUAAUGUAAAACUGAUGGCCC